CCCCCUGUUGAGGAAAAGCCAACAAAGCCAGCUCCUGAAGAGAGUGGCGCUCCUCCUCAAGAACCAACUGCACCGAAGGACAAGACACCCCCACCUCCAACCUCCGGCAUCAAGGAGCCAGAACCAUCACCCACAACUCCAGGCCCAGAAGACUGUACUCCAGGCUGGUCUGAUUGGUACGAUGAGCAAUAUCCUGAUGAAGAAAAUGGCGGAGAUGAGGAAUCUUACCAGAAGGUCAUAGCCUCAGGGAAAGUGGUUUGUCUGCCUGACUCACCAGUGCAAAACAUUGAAUGCAAAGCAGAGAGAUUCCCUAAUACCCCAUGGCAGGAAUUGGGCCAGACAAUCACUUGUGACAAGAAUAAAGGACUGAAAUGUGUAAGUGAGGAUCAAGGAGGACUGCCAUGUUACAACUACAAGGUCAGAUUCUGCUGCUCCAGAGCAAGUGGACCCCCUGCACCAACUCCUUCUUCACGAAGCCCAGAACCAACUGGAUCGAAGGACAAGACACCCGCACCUCCAACCUCCAGCAACAAGGAGCCAGAACCAUCACCCCCAAGUCCAGGCCCAGUGACACCCAAACCUCCGGUUGAGGAAAAGCCAACAAAGCCAGCUCCUGAAGAGAGUGGCGCUCCUCCUCAAGAACCAACUGCACCGAAGGACAAGACACCCCCACCUCCAACCUCCGGCAUCAAGGAGCCACAA